UACGUAGGGGGCAAGCGUUGUCCGGAAUCAUUGGGCGUAAAGAGCGUGUAGGCGGCUUGGUAAGUCCGCUGUGAAAGUCCAGGGCUCAACCCUGGAAUGCCGGUGGAAACUGUCAAGCUUGAGUCCGGAAGAGGCGAGUGGAAUUCCUGGUGUAGCGGUGGAAUGCGCAGAGUAUCAGGAGGAACACCGAUGGCGAAGGCAGAUCUCUGGCCGUGAACUGACGCUGAGGAGCGAAAGCAUGGGGAGCGAACAGG
rnacentral:rRNA from 1 species